rnacentral:rRNA from 1 species
CUGCUCAGGAUGAACGCUGGCGGCGUGCCUAAUACAUGCAAGUCGAGCGAACGGACGAGAAGCUUGCUUCUCUGAUGUUAGCGGCGGACGGGUGAGUAACACGUGGAUAACCUACCUAUAAGACUGGGAUAACUUCGGGAAACCGGAGCUAAUACCGGAUAAUAUUUUGAACCGCAUGGUUCAAAAGUGAAAGACGGUCUUGCUGUCACUUAUAGAUGGAUCCGCGCUGCAUUAGCUAGUUGGUAAGGUAACGGCUUACCAAGGCAACGAUGCAUAGCCGACCUGAGAGGGUGAUCGGCCACACUGGAACUGAGACACGGUCCAGACUCCUACGGGAGGCAGCAGUAGGGAAUCUUCCGCAAUGGGCGAAAGCCUGACGGAGCAACGCCGCGUGAGUGAUGAAGGUCUUCGGAUCGUAAAACUCUGUUAUUAGGGAAGAACAUAUGUGUAAGUAACUGUGCACAUCUUGACGGUACCUAAUCAGAAAGCCACGGCUAACUACGUGCCAGCAGCCGCGGUAAUACGUAGGUGGCAAGCGUUAUCCGGAAUUAUUGGGCGUAAAGCGCGCGUAGGCGGUUUUUUAAGUCUGAUGUGAAAGCCCACGGCUCAACCGUGGAGGGUCAUUGGAAACUGGAAAACUUGAGUGCAGAAGAGGAAAGUGGAAUUCCAUGUGUAGCGGUGAAAUGCGCAGAGAUAUGGAGGAACACCAGUGGCGAAGGCGACUUUCUGGUCUGUAACUGACGCUGACAU